UACGAAGGGUGCAAACGUUGCUCGGAAUUAUUGGGCGUAAAGCGCACGUAGGCGGCUUAGCAAGUCGAAUGUGAAAUCCCUCGGCUCAACCAAGGAAGUGCAUCCGAAACUGCUGAGCUUGAGUACUUAAGAGGAUCGCGGAAUUCCCGGUGUAGAGGUGAAAUUCGUAGAUAUCGGGAGGAACACCAGAGGCGAAAGCGGCGACCUGGACAGGCACUGACACUCAACUACGAAAGCGUGGGGAGCAAACAGG
rnacentral:rRNA from 1 species